AUUGAACGCUGGCGGCAGGCCUAACACAUGCAAGUCGAGCGGAGCGGCGGAGGGGUGAGUAAUACCUAGGAAUCUGCCUGGUAGUGGGGGAUAACGUUAGGAAACGGACGCUAAUACCGCAUACUAGCAGAUGAGCCUGGGUCGGAUUAGCUGGUUGGUGAGGUAAUGGUUCACCAAGGCAACGAUCCGUAACUGGUCUGAGAGGAUGAUCAGCCACACGGGAACUGAGACACGGUCCAGACUCCUACGGGAGGCAGCAGUGGGGAAUAUUGGACAAUGGGCGAAAGCCUGAUCCAGCCAUGCCGCGUGUGUGAAGAAGGUCUUCGGAUUGUAAAGCACUUUAAGUUGGGAGGCGUUACCGACAGAAUAAGCACCGGCUAACUCCGUGCCAGCAGCCGCGGUAAUAC
rnacentral:rRNA from 1 species